rnacentral:rRNA from 1 species
UCUGCCAUCAGGUCUGGGACAACCACUGGAAACGGUGGCUAAUACCGGAUGUGCCCUUCGGGGUGAAAGGUUAACUGCCUGUUGAUGAGCUCGCGUCUGAUUAGCUAGUUGGUGUGGUAAGAGCGCACCAAGGCGACGAUCAGUAGCUGGUCUGAGAGGACGAUCAGCCACACUGGGACUGAGACACGGCCCAGACUCCUACGGGAGGCAGCAGUGGGGAAUUUUCCGCAAUGGGCGAAAGCCUGACGGAGCAAUACCGCGUGAGGGAGGAAGGCUCUUGGGUCGUAAACCUCUUUUCUCAGGGAAGAACACAAUGACGGUACCUGAGGAAUAAGCAUCGGCUAACUCCGUGCCAGCAGCCGCGGUAAUACGGAGGAUGCAAGCGUUAUCCGGAAUGAUUGGGCGUAAAGCGUCCGCAGGUGGCUAUGUAAGUCUGCUGUUAAAGAGUCUAGCUCAACUAGAUAAGAGCAGUGGAAACUACAAGGCUAGAGUGCGUUCGGGGCANAGGGAAUUCCUGGUGUAGCGGUGAAAUGCGUAGAGAUCAGGAAGAACACCGGUGGCGAAGGCGCUCUGCUAGGCCGCAACUGACACUGAGGGACGAAAGC